AUGGGAGUUGGCCACGCCCGAAGUCGUUACCCCAACCGUUCGCGGAGGGGGAUGCCGAAGGCAGGGCUGAUGACUGGGGUGAAGUCGUAACAAGGUAGCCGUACCGGAAGGUGUGGCUGGAUCACCUCCUUUAUAGGGAGACCUACCUGUUCGAUAUUGAAAGCAGCAGAAGGUUGAGAGACUGAGUGUUGUUAUUAGGUAAAGAACUGGUCAUCCCAAAGGUCGUUCGGAUUUAGAUGCUAGACUUUCAGACUAUAUAGGAUGGUUCGGUAUAGAGGGCUAUUAGCUCAGGUGGUUAGAGCGCACCCCUGAUAAGGGUGAGGUCCCUGGUUCGAAUCCAGGAUGGCCCACUGUUAUUGACGGGGGGGUUUAGCUCAGUUGGUAGAGCGCCUGCUUUGCAAGCAGGAUGUCAACGGUUCGAGUCCGUUAACCUCCACUGGGUAAAUUAAACCCUGAUGAAAGCAUUAAGAGAAGAUUUCAGCAACUUGUUUAAUUUAUCAAGGGAUAAAUUAGAGAGCCUGCUGAGGUAAAGCUCAGUGAGAACCUUGAAAACUGCAUAGAAACUUGUCAGGUAGUUGUUAGUUGAGAGCGAUGAAUUCUCGACUAACGAAAGUAUCACAGACACCAAUGUAAGUUUGCGAAGAUUAAAGUGGUCAAGCUACAAAGGGCUGAUGG
rnacentral:misc_RNA from 1 species